CGAGCCGUAGCGCAGAGGUCGUCGCGUCGCACUGCAAAUGCGAAGGACGCCGGUUCGAUUCCGGUCGGCUCCGCCA
rnacentral:tRNA from 1 species